GCCGGGGUAGCUCAGCCUGGUUCGAGUGCCAGACUCAUAAUCUGGAGGUCGCGAGUUCGAAACUCGCCCCCGGCA
rnacentral:tRNA from 1 species